CUGUGCUUCAAAGUGUGUGGGUGGCUUCAAACACUUGGGGGCAAGCAGCCCGACAGCUCUGAGCUGCUGAGUGGAGGAAAUAACAAGAAAAGAAAGAAGAGGCUGUUUAUUCAGGACAGUUACCUGAGGCUAAGACGGAUGGGAACCUAGAAAAGAUUACAGAAUUGGGGCAGCUGGGAUGCAGCUCUCGACACACCUGGGCCGCUCUGCUCAGCGUGUUCGGUGACAGCUUCUGACAGCCUCCUUCAGACAAGAAGCAAACAACACGGAAAGGUGACUGGAGAGCCCAGGAGUCAAGUUCUUUAGAGGGUCUAGAAAGAUCACAGAGAGAAACCACAUGAAAAGAUCAGAUGGAAACUGACAAACCCUGGGAUGAGAUGGAGAAAGAGAGAGACCCAGCCAAGCUCAGCCUUCCCGCCAUCCCUUCCAAGAUGCCAGACAUGUGAGUGAGCCAUUGGAUACUGCAGCCCUGGCCAUGACCUGAUUGAACCGACAUGAGAAACCUCCAGAAAGACCAACAGAAGAACCUCUUAAGCUGAUCCCAGUCAACUCACAGAAGCAUGAGAUAGUGGUUGCUAUAAGCCACUAUGUUUUGGGAUCCUUACUGAUCUUGCUCUGUGCCAAAAGAGGCUCAUGAUAUGAACCACAACCACCAGCCACCGUUUCCUCCUGCGUCUUAUGGGGAUCGGCUCAUGGAAGAGGAAGAGGGACCAGAGCCUGCUCUUUCUCUGCCAUGUGAGGACAUGUGGGAAGGCUGUUUUCUGCAAGCCAGGGAACCAACUCUCACCAGGAACCGAAUCUGCCAGUGCCUCGAACUGGGGCUUCCCAGCCUCCAGAACUGCCAGAAACAAAUGUCUGUUGUCCAAGCUGCCCAGGCUCUUGUAUUUCGUUAAAGCAGCCCAGCACCCUAAGACAGCUACCCUCUCAGAGUGCCAGGACUGUUGCCUUCCACUGCCCCUUCAGGCACAGGGGACAUGGGGCUCCCCAAGACCACCAGUCUCAAAGCCCUGCACUAGUCCUUUCUGAUUUCUGUAAAGCCUGCCCAUGAGUUAGUAAAUAGGCACCUGCUGCCGUGGUCAGAGAGUGCCCUCUCUUUACUGCGAGGACACUCACUAGUAUACAUGUAGUUCCUAAGCAGAGACGGGGUGACCAUUUCUUAACAGGAAUUUCCUCCUCUGUUGGGGUACGUGGCUCUUCAUGCCUCUUCCAGCUCUGAGAGUCUUUCUGCUUACAGUUACGCUAAUGAGGACAUGCGUUGUGUUUUUAUUCAAUUAUACAUGACACAGCAACAUCUAUCCUCCCAGAAGCUGUUGUUUCGUGACCGCCCCCUUCCCUGGCCCUGAGCUUGAUUUAAAAAGAAAAAGGAAUGGAGAAAAAGCAACUGACAGUCCAGUGUCAGUGCUGGAGGGCAGCCAUCAACUGGGAGUCCCUGGAGAGUCCGUGGCUUCUCUGCCUGGGACGACUGGUUCUCUAGCAAUGGGAUUCAGAACCCGGGAAUGCUGCUCACCAGAUGGAGAAGGACCUGUCCACAAGCUCAGCUACUUGCAGGGCUCAAAGCUUUGGUGGGUGGUACAUCGUGAUGCUUCAGAAAGCAGCAACAUUUAUUUGUCAGUGCUUCCUGCGUGUUCAGCUCCCCUGGAGAGACCAAAUCUGCAAAUGCUAUGGUAAAAUACAGUGAGAAAAAAUAAUGAAGGAAACGGUCCAGUGCAUCUCAAACCAUUUCACCUCACCAUCCCAUCUCCUUUUGUCUUAAAACCAGGAAUAACCGUCAAAUUGUUGUUCACGUUGUUGUAAUUACUGCUAACAAUCCCUCACACUUGUCUGAACUUUAUAUUCAUGGAGAUUCUCAUUUUAUUCUCACAAGGAUCUCAUGCGUGCACGUGCGACUGCAAAAAUAAAUGAGGGCAGGUGUUUUCUUUUAUU